GAUGAACGCUGGCGGCGUGCCUAAUACAUGCCAGUCGAGCGAACGGAUGAGAAGCUUGCUUCUCUGAUGUUAGCGGCGGACGGGUGAGUAACACGUGGAUAACCUACCUAUAAGACUGGGAUAACUUCGGGAAACCGUAGCUAAUACCGGAUAAUAUUUUGAACCGCAUGGUUCAAUAGUGAAAGACGGUCUUGCUGUCACUUAUAGAUGGAUCCGCGCUGCAUUAGAUAGUUGGUAAGGUAACGGCUUACCAAGGCAACGAUGCAUAGCCGACCUGAGAGGGUGAUCGGCCACACUGGAACUGAGACACGGUCCAGACUCCUACGGGAGGCAGCAGUAGGGAAUCUUCCGCAAUGGGCGAAAGCCUGACGGAGCAACGCCGCGUGAGUGAUGAAGGUCUUCGGAUCGUAAAACUCUGUUAUUAGGGAAGAACAUAUGUGUAAGUAACUGUGCACAUCUUGACGGUACCUAAUCAGAAAGCCACGGCUAACUACGUG
rnacentral:rRNA from 1 species